AACGAACGCUGGCGGCAGGCUUAACACAUGCAAGUCGAACGAGACCUUCGGGUCUAGUGGCAGACGGGUGAGGAACACGUGGGAACAUCCCUUUCAGUUCGGAAUAACGUUGGGAAACUAACGCUAAUACCGGAUACGUCCUUCGGGAGAAAGAUUUAUCGCUGAAAGAUUGGCCCGCGUCUGAUUAGCUAGUUGGUGAGGUAAUGGCUCACCAAGGCUACGAUCAGUAGCUGAUCUGAGAGGAUGAUCAGCCACAUUGGGACUGAGACACGGCCCAAACUCCUACGGGAGGCAGCAGUGGGGAAUAUUGGACAAUGGGCGCAAGCCUGAUCCAGCCAUGCCGCGUGAGUGAUGAAGGCCUUCGGGUUGUAAAGCUCUUUUGUCCGGGAAGAUAAUGACUGUACCGGAAGAAUAAGCCCCGGCAAACUUCGUGCCAGCCGCCGCUGUAA
rnacentral:rRNA from 1 species